rnacentral:lncRNA from 1 species
GCUCCACACAAGUUCCUGAAGUCUCUGAAUGUUCUUCUCUUGUGAUAAGAUGAUCUGCAACAAGUGAAAUAUUAGAAGUUAAUCACAAGUAGAAUAGCCGGCAAAAGAUAUGUAUCAUGCCAAAAACAUAACUUCAUUAUAAUUUGCCUUUUCCCAAUAGCAUAUUGUAAAGGAAAUAGCAAUGUUCAUUCAUGGAUAAGUGAAUAUGUGCACUAGAACACCAUAAUUAGUUUCAAAAUGAAAUCAAGACUAUCCAACAGAUGCCACAAUAGAUAAAAGAAAGAAUUUUAUCAACAAAAAUGGAACGUGCUAUGUCACAUUGUUCAUAAAAAAGAUUUUGUCUUCUUAUAUUUAAUAAAUAAACGAACCAUGGAUAGAAAGUUUUAAGCAUGCAAAUAUUUUAUUUUUAGUACAAGCAAGCAAUUAUGUUAUAGGGACCAAACCCUGUACCUUGUGCCAAUCAAAUUGAAACCAGCUAACCAUGCGAAUAGCAAAUUCAUCCAAAGUUUCAAACCCAAAUGAAUCACUGUAAUAGAAAGAGCACUGAGGAAUAUUCAAAGUCAAAAAAAACAAAAACAGAAAGUAUAAAUUAGAUUUAAAGGCUAUAAAUAGCGUAGUGGUGAUGGUGGUGGUCUCAAGCAUUAGUUGAUUCUAUUCACUAUUUUUCAGCAACAAAAUACCAAUCAAAUUAAUGAAUAAGCAUGCAUGAUCCAAGUCCAACAUUGAAUUUAAUUAAUGCUCAACUUCAAGUUUUAAAAUAUUGGGUAUUUGAAGUUGUAAAGUACUUGAAUACAAAUUCUAGGUUUUAUUUAAUAAAAAUUAUUUUCUUCAUUUCAAACAUAAUAUAAGGUAAUUUAUCAAAUCUAUAAUUAAAUUUCAAGAAUUUCUUGAUUAGACUGAUUCAGAUCCUAAUAAACAAGUGUACGGGCAAUUCAUGGGCAUUUUUCAUUCGUGUCAAGCAUACAAAUAGCAACUAAUACCCAAAGUUUCAAACCAAAAUUAAUUACUGUAAUAGAAAGAACACUGAAACACUGCUGAUAAAAUGGUUUUAUGAAAUUAUCUACUAUUGGAAUAUUCAAAGUCAAAAAACUAAGAAAUUGGAAGUAUAAAUUAGAUUUGAAGGCUGGAAACUGCAUGGUGAUGGCGGUAGUUUAAAGCAUCUAUUGAUUCUACUAUACCAAUCAAAUUAAUGGAUAACAUGCAUGAUCCAAGUCCAAUACUGAAUUUAGUUAAUGCUCAAGCACAAGUUUUAAAAUUUUGGGUAUUUGAAGUUGAAAAUCUUAGCAAAUACUUAAAUGCAAAUUCUGGGUUUUAUUUAAUUAAAAUGAAAAUGACUAGAUAUAAAUAAUUAGAGUAAGUUAAGAAGCUUACCAGUACUUUUUAUAGUCUUCUCAUCUAUAUCACAAUGAAAGUGAUUCCAGCUAUUUCACCUGCAAAAAAUGAUAAAAUUAAUCACCUUUUUAUUUUUUUAUAAAAUAAAAAGUGAAAGAAUUGAUACCCCAUUGGAGGGGUACGAACAACCCCAUUGGCAAUGAACAUACCCAUGAAUUCUAUGCUUGCUAUGUCACACUAUGAAGAUGAUAACAAAGAUGAUAACUUGAGAUUGAAAGUUUUAGAAAUGGAGAAGAUACUUGAGGAAACUACGUAAGAACUGACACAGAAGAAGGCUGAAUGGCAGAACCUAAUCAAGGAAAAUGAGGAGAUAAUAAAUCGUUGCAGAUCAAUGGCUGAAGAUAAAGAUGGACUGCAGAAGGAAAUUCUGGAGGCAAAGAGAACUGUAUAUAGUCACUGGUCAAAACUACAAUAAUCAGCUAAUAAACGAAGAAAUGUAUAUAGUGCACUUGUCAAAACUACGGGCUUUUCUUGUAACAAACAAACCCAUUUACUUAAAUAAAGACUCACUAACUCAAAACAUAACCAAAGAUUCCUAUCACUAAAAUCACCACCAACAAUUUGCCUCAUUAAAUACACUAACAAACUAUCAAUUCCUGUAGCAGAAACAUCAAUCAUUUCUUUAGUAACCCAAAUUAAUUGUUCCUUUACCCAAUCAACAAGCUUUCCAUACAAUUCAUUAACAAUUCCAACAAGUAAACUUAAAAACAGCUUAUACCUAUCAAUGAAAAUAGCAUAUAAGUGGUUAAUAUGAAUUUUGGCGAAAUAGGGUUCGAUUAAAACACCAUAGAGAAUAGCUUGGUUAAAUAGAGUGUAUUCUUGGGGAUCUGAGAUAGUUAACGAAAGGGGGGGUUUAAUUUCGAUAGAAGAAGGUCAAAAGCUUGCCUUAGAAAGAGUUAUAGCUGAUUGUGAGCUUCAUAGGAUAAGACUCUAAUCAGUUGCAAAACCAUUAAGAGUAGUUUUCAUUAAGACAAAGCAAAAACUUAAUACCUUGUCAGCGAACUGCUUCACUCGAUUCAGCACCGAUUUAACAUCUGGGUGUUGGAUCGUUAGCCAUUUCCUCUCACACCGAAGUCAGAUUUUCUCGAGAAAACUGAGGAAUCUGGAUUUCAAGCUUCAUUUUUGUUGAGAGAAAUUGAAACCGUUGACCUUGAUUUCAACCGGAGCUUGAGGAUGAAUUUGUGGAGCCUAAGAGGAGUGAGAAUCGAUGAAAUUCGCCGGUAGGUAAAAUUUUGAUGGCUUUUAAUUUGAAAUUGAAUCUGGGUUCAGGCUUAGAUAGGGUUGGUAAGGAUGCUUCAGACGUGAAAAAGAGGGAGAAGGUUGAAGGAAAUGGGAAUCAGACGUGAAAAAAAAAAGAGAAGAAAAUGCUCAGUUGUGAGAAAGAAACUAGAAGGGUAAAGUUGAAAAAUUUUCACACUGAAUUGGUAUUCCGUAGGGGGAGUGCUGAAUUGUAAACGGCAGUUUUGCCUUGAAUAAGGCUGUAUGGAAUAGGGUUGUAAUAGCCCAUUACAACCAACCAAACAAUGGAACAGGGAUGAGACCACUGAAUUCAGCUGUAAUGGCUUAGCAUUACAGCCAACCAAAUAUAUUGUAAGAGUGUUCAUACACCAAUGAUCAGUUCGUCCAUGUUGUCUAAACAUGAGGGUGACUGUCUUGUUGAUCCUACAGAGUAUUGAAGUCUUGCUGGUGCGCUUCAAUAUGUGCUAUUAACUCAGCCUGGUGUUGCUUAUGCUGUGAAUCGUGUAUGCAAGUGUAUACAUGCGCCUACUUCAGUUUAUUUGAUUGCUUUAAAAAGGAUUUUACGGUAUUUACGUGGGACUAUUGAUCAUGGCCUGGUUUAUCCUCCAUUCGACAGACUAUCUCUCGUCAGUUAUGCUGAUGUAAACUGGAGGUUGAAUUUUGAUGAUCGCUGGUCUACAACAGGAUAUUGUGUGUAUUUUGGCAAUACGCCCAUCUCGCGGUGUUCGAAAAAGCAACAAGUUGUUUCUUAAUCAACAACAAAAACCAAAUAUUGAAGUCUUGAUGCCACCAUCAGUGAUAUUACAUGGUUAGUCUCUCUGUUAACAUAGUUACAAAUUCACUCUGCUGACUCCCCUAUUAUUUGGUGUGACAAUUCUAGUGCAGUAGAGGUUGCUGCAAAUCCGGUCUUACAUUCCAAGCUUAAACAUGUUGAACUUGACCUAUUCUUUGUCCGUGAAAAUGUAGCUAACAGUUCACUCAUUUUGGUGAGGUUCUAGCUUGUGACCAAGUUGCUGACAUUUUUACAAAACCAUUGUCUAUCUCUUUGUUUAUUGGGUUUCAUAAUUUACUUCGGGUCUUACCUAUUGAGAAGCUGGGUGAAUGUUAGAGUAUGUGAAUUGUAGAAGCCCAUUUUUGCCCGGCCCAUCAUAAACCAAAAAACCAUAGAAAUAAGUUUAACAGCCUAUUUACACAAAAAAGUCUAAAUAACCCAUGUUACAUUCAACCCAAAAGGCCUAAAAUUAACCUAAACCUUAAUGGCCUUAUAGGCCCAACACGUACUUCUAUAGCUCGCCCGACGCUCUAGGGUUGGCUCUGCCCACUCCUUGCACGAAAUGGAAGCCCUUGCUCAUUGACCUUCCCCCUAACCUGCAAACAAACCAAAAGAAAAACAGAAACAGCAACACGCAAAGGCAGACAUCAAUAGAAACAAACAAAAAAGAACUAACAGUUGUAUUAAUCGGCUAUAAAGCCACAUGAAAUUUUUAAUUUUUGGGGGAUUCUAAUACAGAGAAAUCAAAUACAACAACAAAAGAAUUUUGAAACAGAUUCAAGAAUCGAAAAUGUGCCCUUUUUAUUUUAUUAUUCGAAAUAAAAUAACUAAAUAAUAAACUUACCGUCGUUUUGCUUUCUCGUCGCUGUCAGAGGCUAUCGCCGACUCCUAAAACCUCGUAACCCGUUGGGUUUCCGAUGAGGGUCCGAAAGGGGAAACAGUGAGGCCGAAAACCCUUGUUUUUAUUUUUCUCUUUCCAUUUUCAUUGUUUUUUGGUUCAAAAACACCCAAAUCGUGUUUGAAAAGGGGAAAAAAGGUCUAAAGGGCCAAUUUUGGUGCACCUUUGGCCACCGUCCACGGCAAGGCCAUGAUGGUGCGGCGACUGACCACCGGUGGCCUUCUUGGCUAAUUUCUGGGUUUAGCCCAGAGAGAGAAAGGAGAAUAGAGAGUUUUUUUUUU